rnacentral:rRNA from 1 species
CACACAGUAAACGAUAAUCACUAGGUGUUGGGUUCUUAAGAGGAUUCAGUGCCGGAGCUAACGCGAUAAGUGAUUCGCCUGGGGAGUACGAUCGCAAGGUUGAAACUCAAAGGAAUUGAC